rnacentral:rRNA from 1 species
CAGUAGCCACGGGAAUACGUAGGUGGCAAGCGUUAUCCGGAAUUAUUGUGCGUAAAGCGCGCGUAGGCGGUUUUUUAAGUCUGAUGUGAAAGCCCACGGCUCAACCGUGGAGGGUCAUUGGAAACUGGAAAACUUGAGUGCAGAAGAGGAAAGUGGAAUUCCAUGUGUAGCGGUGAAAUGCGCAGAGAUAUGGAGGAACACCAGUGGCGAAGGCGACUUUCUGGUCUGUAACUGACGCUGAUGUGCGAAAGCGUGGGGAUCAAACAGGAUUAGAUACCCCAGUAGUCCCUGUCUCUUAUAC